rnacentral:lncRNA from 1 species
UUUAUUCUUAUUUUUGAUAAUGUUAUUGGUUUCAUGAACCUAGCUUCUAGUAGGGCAUAGGUGGGAUACUCUGCUCGUGCCUGAAGAAGUUCUCUGGAUCAACCUUGGUUUUAAUCUUCACCAAUCUGUCAAAAUUGCCUUUGAAGUACUUAGGUCCCCAGAUUUUAGCUUCAAUGAAGUUAACCUUUGCGUUGUUCUUGUUCUGUCCGAAGUCUAGAUCUCUGUAGUUCACAUAUGCUUGUCUUGGAUUGCUUGAGACAUAAGGCGCCAUGUAAUUGUAUAUCUCUUUGAUCCAGUUGAUUUUUCUACUCGAUGUCUUGUCAUUCUCUAGCCAGUUCGCGUAAUAGAGAAUCUUGAAGAGGGUUCCGUUUCUAUGCGGAAAUGGGAUCGCAGAUUCAGGGAUUUUCGACAUCAUACCACCGUAAGGAGUCCAGUUCAGAAAUGUUGUGUUUCCUUCAAUCAAUCUUUUGAAUAUUCCUUUGAGCCCUAUCACAGGAAUAGGUUCUUUAACGAAAUCCGACGUUGCUUUGAAGUAAUCUUUUCCUAGAGGCGACUUGAGCUGAAGCAAAAUUUCAAUAGGAGAACCUGUUGGAAAUCCACCAUGGAAAAGGGCGGCUUCAAUCCAGCUCAUUUCAGUACAAUCCUUUUGAGUUAACCCUAGUUCUGGAAAAGCCUUCUCCAUAACCUUCAGCAAGGUGCCUUUCUCGCCAAGAAACUGACCUAGGUAGGUCAUUGUCACAGUCUUGUUUCCAUCAUUUCCAGCUGCUCUGAGUACCACUCGGAUGUGUAUCUCUUCAAUAAUCUUGGAUGAAAUUUGUUGCCACUUAGAAAUAGUCUUCAAUCUUGCGUCUUGUUCUAACGUUUUGGUGACAGUGAAGACGGUAACAGUCUUAGGAACAGGAACAAGCUUGAUCUUCCAUGCUAGAACUAUCCCGAAACUCGCUCCACCGCCUCCUCUAAUCGCCCAAAAUAGGUCCUCACCCAUCGCGGCUCUGUCGAGUAAUUUACCAUUUGCAUCAACCAUCUUUACGUCUAGAACAUUAUCUCCCGCAAGACCAUACUUCCUCAUCAAGGUACCGUAUCCACCGCCUGUCAUAUACCCACCUAUGCCUACACUUGUGCACAAACCCGCGGGAAAUCCAUGGAUCUUGCUCUUCUCUGCAAUUCUGCAGUUAAAAGGUAAAAACGUUAACAGAAUUAUCAAGAAGAUGCGGUGUUACCCAAAAAAAAAAAAAAAAGCCAAAAGAUUUAACAGUGGGAUACUUCCUUCACCAUUUCUUUUGUCAAAAAAAUGACCCGCAAGUUGGCCUGUCAAUUUAGUAUUGUCAUGUUGUCGCUCUUGUUACAUAUAUAGAUUAUAUUUGCGUAUGUUUAUAUAGGAGAUAUGUAUGUUUUUAAAAAAUAACCCGCAACUAUAAGCAUGUCAAUUUAAUUAGUCUUUUUUUUUUGGUAGGCUGUCAAUUUAAUUAGUCUUGUGAUAAUGUCCAACGUCCAAGCAAUUUGUAAAUGAAUUAAAAAAUUUACAAUCCUUAAAAGACAUAUCAGAAAAAAAAUCCUAAACUAUAUAAUGCAAAACUAUAGGAGAAGAAAAAAGAAAAAACUCAUAUUAAUAAAAUAUUAAAAAUAAUUUUGAAUCUAUGACGGUCUACAAAUUUUGGGUCCUAACUAAGCGUUGGUUACCGAUUUACCCUGCUUAAAUCAUGGGCCGGUCUUGCAUGCUAGACUCUUAAGUCUAAACCAUUGAGGACUCAUGGACGUGUAUAAGUUUCGGCUUAACUCAUUUCUUAUUUGAUAUAAAUAAAUUAGUAAUUAAGUACCUAUAUAUAGAUAACUAGAAAUUUAUGUUUGAUAAAUAGUUUUAGUUAGUUAUUAAGUAUAUACAGUAUGUAUAUUAAUAUGAUAUUUUUGUUAAUAUCUAGAAAUAAAUAAUUUUAUAUAUAUAUGAUGGCCUAGAAAGUAUUAAAUAUAUCACAAAUAUGAUUGUUUAUAUAAAUUUUUCAUACAAAUAUAAAGAACGGAUAUAUUAACCAAUGUUACCUGUAGUAAAGCUCACCAAGCGUAGCACCAGGUUGAACCCAAGCACUAUUGGAUUCAAUAUCAACAUUGAUUUGUUUCAAUUUUGACAGGUCGAGUAAUAUAAACGGUUUUUCAAUCCGUGAAACAUAAGACAAGGCCUCGAAAUCGUGACCGCCACUUCUAACACGAAAAUGAAUUCCGAGUUUCUUUGAACAAAUGAUGGAAGCUUGGACUUGAGACUGGUGAAUCGGUCUGAAUAUGAAUCCCGGUUUAGGCAUGGAUUUUGCCAAGAACUGGAGAUUUUGAGCCGUCGAUUCAAGGACUUGGUUGAACAAAGAGACGUUUUUCGCAGGGGUGAAUAACGUUUUCUCGAGUGGAAAAGAAACAUGUGUGUUUCUUUUGACACAGUUUAUGAAUUGAUCUUGGAUGGAGGCUGAUGAAGAAGUUGGUGUUAUGCAAUAGAAUGAAAAAUACAAGACUGAAACUAUAAUACAAGAAAUUGUAGGGAGUGGUUUUGAAUUUCCCAUCCUUGCAGCGAAUAUGCAAGAGAGAAGCCAAAUGGAUGAGUUUUGUGUUUUUUUUCUUUUUAGCGUCAAUGAAGAAAAUGUGUUUAUAUACUUAUAAAGGAUUGUCAAAACAAGAUUCAUUUGAUUAGUCGAUGACAAUAUAAUAUGGAAGUAACGUGCUUAGACACUAGUAUGAAUUUUAUAAGAUAAGAUAAGGUGGUUGAGUUUACAACUAAUUACAAUUAUUUUUUCACAUGAUGGAAUUGAAUAGUUGUUUUGGUUCAAUGAAGAAAUGUCUUUAUAUGAAGAUAAAAUAUUGUGAUCAAAGGAGACUCCUUAAAUUAGUCAAGUCUAAUUAGAAAUUUGGUUGCGUUAAUAAUACUCCCUCUGUUUCUAUAUAAAUGUAGUUUAAGGGUUUUUAUUUUUUUUCAAUUUAAAUGUUGUUUUUAAAUUUCUAUGCAAAUAAUAAAUGUAUUUAAUAUUUUUUAACCAAUUAUAUUUAAUUAUCUAUUUUUUUAUUAGUUGAAUUGAUUAUAAUAAACGAUGUUUUUAUUAAAUGAGAUUUUUAUGUUUUCUUAAUUUGUGUGUAAAAACCUUAAAUACAACUAAUAUGAAACAGAGGUAGUACUAAUUACGAUUAUUUUGUUUCUCCAUAAUAUGACCGUCGUUGCUUAAUGACGAUUCGACGACUAUGCCUACAUUAAUUUACAUGUUGGCAUGUUGCGUAGUCAAACGAAUCGGCGGAUAAUGACAGUUAGGCAAUUUUUGUCAUGUCUUGAAAAUGUUGACUUUGUUUUAGCUUGUUUUGUGGAUUACCGUCCAUUAAGUUGACAAAAAAAUGCAAUUACGUUAAAAGAUUUCAUACGGAUUCAUAUUUUUUUGACAUGUAAUUAAAUUUGCAAAACACGGUUCAAUCGGAUAACAACACCUAGUUGGUUACUCAAAUCAUAUGGUUGUGUGUGGUUGUCAUGAGCUUAGCUUCAUACGGGCAGAGUUGGGAUACUCUGCUCGUGUCUGAAGAAGUUAUCUGGAUCAACCUUUGAUUUAAUCCUCACCAAUCUGUUGAAAUUGUCUUUGAAAUAAUUAGCUCCCCAUAUUUUAGCUUCUAUGAAGUUAGACUUUGAGUUGUCCUUGUUCUGUCCCAGGUCUAGAUCUCUGUAGUUCACAUAUGCUUGUCUUGGAUUGCUUGAGAC